AACGAACGCUGGCGGCAUGCCUAACACAUGCAAGUCGAACGAAGGCUUCGGCCUUAGUGGCGCACGGGUGCGUAACGCGUGGGAAUCUGCCCUCAGGUUCGGAAUAACAGCGAGAAAUUGCUGCUAAUACCGGAUGAUAUCGCGAGAUCAAAGAUUUAUCGCCUGAGGAUGAGCCCGCGUAGGAUUAGCUAGUUGGUGUGGUAAAGGCGAACCAAGGCGACGAUCCUUAGCUGGUCUGAGAGGAUGAUCAGCCACACUGGGACUGAGACACGGCCCAGACUCCUACGGGAGGCAGCAGUGGGGAAUAUUGGACAAUGGGCGAAAGCCUGAUCCAGCAAUGCCGCGUGAGUGAUGAAGGCCUUAGGGUUGUAAAGCUCUUUUACCCGGGAUGAUAAUGACAGUACCGGGAGAAUAAGCUCCGGCUAACUCCGUGCCAGCCGCCGCGGUAA
rnacentral:rRNA from 1 species